rnacentral:piRNA from 1 species
UGCUAACUGGUAGUGUGGCAUUGGCUAGA